rnacentral:rRNA from 1 species
AGUGAACGCUGGCGGUAGGCCUAACACAUGCAAGUCGAACGGCAGCACAGUAAGAGCUUGCUCUUACGGGUGGCGAGUGGCGGACGGGUGAGGAAUACAUCGGAAUCUACUUUUUCGUGGGGGAUAACGUAGGGAAACUUACGCUAAUACCGCAUACGACCUACGGGUGAAAGCAGGGGAUCUUCGGACCUUGCGCGAUUGAAUGAGCCGAUGUCGGAUUAGCUAGUUGGCGGGGUAAAGGCCCACCAAGGCGACGAUCCGUAGCUGGUCUGAGAGGAUGAUCACCCACACUGGAACUGAGACACGGUCCAGACUCCUACGGGAGGCAGCAGUGGGGAAUAUUGGACAAUGGGCGCAAGCCUGAUCCAGCCAGACCGCGGGGGUGAAGAAGGCCUUCGGGUUGUAAAGCCCUUUUGUUGGGAAAGAAAAGCAGCAGGUUAAUACCCCGCUGUUCUGACGGUACCCAAAGAAUAAGCACCGGCUAACUUCGUG